GAACAGAAGCAUCUAUGACCGACAGUUGCUCUGUGUCCUUCUAGCCUCGCAGGAGUUUCCAGCUCAUGAGGGCAGAGGAGAUGAAGAGAGGCCGAUCGACGUGAGGGUCGUGCAGGUGGCCCCUCUGAGGUGUGACUCCAUAGAUGAUGCAUAUCUGAACCUGGAAACCGCUUCCCACUGUAGAGCGUGUCUGAGUCAUGUCCCUUAGCUUCAGCAGAGCAGAUCCAGCAGGCUCUGAGCUUGACCUCUUUGCCUGAAGCGAGACCUCUAGCUCCUCCUGAGGGUGCUGUAGGAGACAUCUGCAAAAAAGAAGAUGCUGGCAAUAUGCCAUCAACCUCAGAGGGGAGUAUUUACCUUGAAAUGGCUCACUUCCUGAGGAACAAACUUGCUGGAUCUAGUGUACGGAAACCUGAUUCUGGGUUCCUUUGGGAAGGAGCAUUACGGGCCUGGUGAGAGCAAAUGACUUUCCAGUAGAAAGCUAUGGCCAGAGAGGCUGCAGGAAUAUCUGUGAACCCAGAGGAAAGACCAGGGAAUCCUGUGUGAGGCAGUGGGGCUUCAGCGGGACUAGGAGUGGGUAGCCUCUCUCAAAUGACUUCUCCUGUUGUUUGUGUUUCUCCAGUGUGGGUGCUGGAGAGCAUAACUGAUGAGGAGGACUCUCCAGCUAGGGAACUGCUUUCCAGGUGGGACUCAGUGGGCAAGGGUUCCCAGGGCCCUUCAGGGUAUUCCUGCUGCUUGGGAGGCUGAGGGAGGGGGCAUAGAAUCAAAAAGAAAAAGGAAAUAUGUGUAAAGUUUGGUUUGGUCUUUUCCAAGUUUAUUGGCGUAGUGGUGAGAACUGUCUCUAUGGGCUAUGAGGGUGCCGUGUUGUUUAAAGAUGAUCUUUCCCAAAACACCUUUUCUGCCUCUGCAUCUGCCAAACAUCACAGCUUCUGCGUUGGAUUAGUCAGCACUCCUUGAUAUUGUGCAAAAGAGGUUUAGGGUUCCCUCAACCUGUGGUGGAGGGAAGGUGAGGGCCACGCCUCUCACAGGCACAUGCUUGAACCUGGAGACAAAGUACUCCUAGGGUUUGCCCAGGGCUGUAGGAAACCUUGAUGAUCAUCCUCUGAACUUUUAGGACUUUUAAAAGCACAUUCAUGUUUCUGUCCUCGCUGUUGACUCCUGGUUUAAAGGGAUUGCCCAGGGUGGAUGACAGAGCGAAUAUUCACUCUGGGUUCACUGCUGGAGCUCCAGUGCCCUGGGAGGGGAGAGGAGAAGCCUGACCUUGAGCACAGCUCCAGCCUCCACUCCCCACCCCUAUCGCAGGCUCUGGGCUGUGGUUUCAUUUUCCCCAGUUCUCUAACUUCUCAGGAAGCCCAGAGUUUCUCCCUAAAGAAAGGUGGCCCUGCACUCUUUCCUCUCCUCCAAAAUUAGGCUUCAGUAGUUGUCCUCUAAGUUGAUAUUUAGACCUUAAAAUCUAGACUUCUUGGAUCAACAAGAAAUACGCAGGAAGUUCCACAUGAUCUCGUGUGAUAGCACGUAACUUAGUGCUACAGGUGACAGUUUUAUUUUUGGAGGAGUCUUAUUUUACAUAGGGAAAUAGAAAACUAAGUGGCUUCCCUUGAGGCAGCCCGAGGGCUCCACUGGACCCAGAACUCUGAGUUCUGAUGCUGCCUAUCAUUUGCUUUUCCUCAUGAGCUCCUGGACCACCUCAUAUCACCAGCACCCUCUACCCAAGGUCCUGGAGCCAACACUGGAGUAAAAGAGCACAAGAGAACUCCUUAGAGGUGGAAGAUAACCCUAAGGAAUAUCUUGGAUGUCUUCACGGGGCUUAUGACUUAUUCUGAGGUUUACAAAAUAGAGGCCCCCAGCUGAGCAAAGAGAGGGCUGCAGCGCCGAGGGAACAGCUGCCGGACUCACCGGAGAGGCCUCCUGGAGCACGCCGGGACCCCCUCCACCCCCUGGCUUUGGCUGCAUCAAUGGCUAGUUUGCCUGAACUAUAUCUGAGCCACUGAGAGUAUUUAUUAAGCAGAGAAUAAUUUUGAGUUUCACUUUUAUAACUUUUGUUUCAAAAGUUGUUUUGGAUAAUUUAAUGAAAUGACUGUAAACCAGAAUUCCCCUUUUCAUUAUUUCUUUGUGUCAAUAUAAAAAGAGUUGAUGAUUUUAAAAGCCAGUGAGAUGUCCCUGUCUGUGGAUGUCAGCGGGAGGGUGGGGUCUGACGCCUUUCUCUGGUGGCUGUCCAGGAAGAUUGCCCCAGCUUGCACUCCCUUUUGGCGGGUUCCAGAGCCUUCCAUUUGAAAGGAGCAUCUCUCACCACUCUGCCCCACCCAGCACCAGCUCUUCUGGAACCCACUGACUUCCUAAACACUUUCUUCCUCCUUCACCUCAUUGAAUUCAAGACUUUAGAAAACAGCCAAAAACUCUAGAGGUGGGGGUGGGUUCGAUCUGGAAAUCCCUGCUGUAAUCUUUUUAAGGGAAUCCACUGGAAAUUAUUAAUUUAUGUUUUAAAUAAAACCAUUCCUUACUUAACAGAAUAUUAAGCCACUCAUUUUUUUAACAGAACUUUCGAGAUAUAAUUAAAAUGCCAUAAAUUUCACCCCCACACAGUGUACAAUUCCAAGGUUUCCAAUAUAGUCACAGAAGUCUCUGCAACAAUUACCACAAUUUUAGACAUGAAGACCAUUUGUUGGCAGCCCUACCUGCCUCUAUGUGUAUGUAUAUAAUUUUAAUAUUGGAUUGGAUACUAUAGUAAUAUUGUACUGUUACCUAUUUGUGUUUUUAUAUUGCUGUUUUAUUUUAUUCAGAUGAAUAAUAAUUAUCUCCAUAUAGUCAUACAUUUAUAUAGGGUUAAACACACCUUUUUACAAUUCAAUAAAUUAAAUUGGUCAGGUAUGGUGGCUCACGCCUGUAAUCCCAGCACUUUGGGAGGCCAAGGCGGGUGGAUCACCUGAGGUUGGGAGUUUGAGACCAGCGUGAUCAACAUGGAGAAACCCUGUCUGUACUAAAAAUACAAAAAAUUAGCCAGGCAUGGUGGCACAUGCCUGUAAUCCCAGCUACUUGGGAGGCUGAGGCAGGAGAAUCACUCGAACCAAGGAGGCGGACAUUGCGGUGAGCCAGGAUCGCACCAUUGCACUCCAGCCUGGGCAACAAGAGCAAAACUCCAUCUCAAGAAGAAAAAAAAAAAAAAAGUAAAUUGUUUUUAAUUACAUAAGAAACACGUGUUAUUGUUAUAGAAAUUCACAUAGUGCUUCGGUCUAUAGAAUAAAUGUAUCCCCACCACCUCCCAGCCCACCCACUCGUCUGCAUUCACCUACACACAGUUAAACAUGCACAUAUGUUUCCGUGACACGAUCUUGCUUUGCAUAUUGUUCACUGACUGGCUUUUCCAUAUAAGAUUUAAUUUGGUGAUUAUUGCUUAUCAGUACCUAUAGGUCUCUCUCAUUAUUAUUUAUAAUUACAUCAUUAUUCCAUAGGGUAUUUUACCACAAUUUGGUCACUUUUUCACUGAGGAAUUUUUAUGUCAGUUUCAGUUAUUUGUUAUUGUUACCAAUGCUGUACUGGGCAUCCCUGUAUAUCCACCUUUUUGUUGCAUUAGUUAAGUGGUUUUUUCCUUUUAUGAUUGAUUUCUAAAAAUAAAAUACUGCAGCAAAUGUUAAUGUUUAAUAUUUUCAUAAAAUUAAAAAUCUGUGUUCCAAAAAGAAAUCAAUGGUUUAUACUUCUACCAUCAAUGUAUGAGAAUUCCUAUUUCCCCACACCCUUAAUUACAUAGGAAAUUAUCAAUGUUUGCCAAUUUUAUGAUUUUAAAAUAUUUUUACUUUUAAUUUGGAUUUCUCCACUUAUUAGGGAGAUUGUGCAUAUUUGUGUAUGUGUGUUGGCCGUUUGUAUUUCUCCCUGUGAUUUUCAUAAUGAUACGUUUUCCUAGUUUUCUAAUUCAUUUAGUGAUAUUCUUUAUAUGUUCUGCACAUUUAUUAUUUCCAUAUAAUUACUGAGUUUUUUUUAAGGUCUGUGUCAUAACUUUUACUUUGUUUAUAUUGUUUUUGUUUUGAAGAAGGUUUUCUUUUUACAUAGUCAAAUUUUCAAUAUUUUCCUUACCAUUUCUGGAUUUUGUGACAGGCUUUCAAUAGUUGGUCCUUCUAGGGCUUUAUUGAUUUGUUUUGUUUUAAAGAACAUGCUCAAAUCCUACAUUAUAUAGUGAUUUACUUGUUCCCUUUAUAACACGUGGUAGACAUUACUAGUUCCAAUUAAUGUAGAUUAAAUGUAUUCUUUUCAGUUGUGUAGUAAUUCAUAGAUACGUUCUGAUUUCUUUAUUCUCUGUUAGAUGGAUAUUAAGCUUAUUUUUUAAAAUUCCCACCACUAAUGACUUUCCAGUAAUCAUCAAUAUACAUAGAUCCCCCCAAUGUUUUUGUUUUUUUGUUUUUAUGUAGUAUACGAAUCUCAAAAUGGUAUAAUUGAGCUACGAUAAAUUUAAUUAUAAUUUAAAAAAUACUGACAUUAUUUUUCACAGAGUUAAUCAGAUCACACUCUUACCAAUUACAUAAGUAGGCCUCUUCCUAUGUAGGCUCAAUAG
rnacentral:lncRNA from 10 species